rnacentral:sRNA from 1 species
UAGCUGCCUGGCAUGUUACUGGAGGUACUUUGCAGUCAUUGCUGGGAUUUCACUGAUGUGACCCCAACGCUGCCUCUCUCUCCACACCACGAUGUCGGAAGAAACUCAACAGAGUAAAUUGGCUGUGGCCAAGAAAAAGUCCUCGAGCCGCUGUGAAGCAGUCCUCAAGUGGCAGUUAUGGCAGUCGGUAAAGGCUCGGGCACAGCUGGAAGCACACGUGACACAGAUGAUGGAACAAGUCCAGCUAGAGACAGAUGAAUAUGCUCAACAUCUAAAAGGAGAGAGGGCCCGGUGGCAGCAGAGGGUAUGGAAAAUGUCAGAGGAGGGCCCUGUCCCCCGUGCUUUGGGCAGGUUUGCACAUGGAAGGAGGAGAAGAAGCAUGACAGGCAUCGGGUACAGGAGCUGGAGAGGAGCUUGGCCAACCUCAAAAACUAGAUGGCUGAACCCCUGCCCCCGGAGCCCCCAGCAGGGCCCUCUGAGGUGGAACAGCAGCUACAAGCUGAGGCCGAGCACCCGAGGAAGGAGCUGGAGAGUCUGGCAGGACAGCUCCAAGCUCAGGUGCAAAACAAUCAAGGCUUGAGUCACCUGAACUGGGAGCAGGAGGAGAGGCUGCUGGAACGGGAGAUGCUGCGGGAGCAGGAGAGGCUGCAGGAGCUGGAGCACGCGCUCUCUCAGAACCAUGAGCUCGACUAGCAGCUGGCUGGGCCACAGAGCGGCUUAGAGGAGCUGAAUGAUGAGAAUAAGAGGGCACUACAGUUGGAGCAGUAAGUAAAGGAGCUGCAGGAGAAGCUGGGCAAGCUGAAGGAGACUGUAACCUCUGCCCAUCCAAGGAAGGCUGGGAGGAGCACCUGGAAGGUACCAGCCAGCAGAACCAGCAGCUACAGGCCCAGUUGAGCCUCAUGGCAGUCCCUAGGCAAGGUGGCGUUUUUCAACUCCGCUGGAGCCAGUGCCCAGGAGGAGCAGGUAUGGCUUAUGUGGGCAGCUGAAGGAGCAAAGGGUGUGGUGCCAGCGCCUGACUCACCCAGGUGGCCUUGGCCCAGAAGGAGCCAGAGGUAGUGGAACCAGCCCCAGGGACUGGGUAUGAGUCUGUGUGUGGGUAGACUCAUCAGGCCCUGCAGGGGUCCAUGGAGAAGUUGCAGGUGAGUGAGUCCUGGCAUGGGCCAAGAAGGUUGGGGGCAGAGCAGGGCAGGGCAGGUCGCUCUCAAGAUGUGACCCCAUUAUUUUGGAUCCAGAGCGGCUUUAUGGACCUCCUGAAGGAGAAGGUGGACCUGAAGGAGUGGGUGGAGAAACUAGAGCUUCGAUCCAUUCACCUCUCAGGACAGACAGACACCAUCAGAAAGUAAAUCACAACAUAUGCGGGCCAGAGGGCAGUGCCACAGACGCCGCACCAGGAGGAGGAGGACAUCAUCAGGCUGGCCCAGGACAAAGAGGAGAUGAAGAUGGGGCGUGCAGCACCUCUGUGGGGGUAGGGGUGGGGUGGGCAUGAGCGAGGCCAGGGGCACUGGCACCAGCGUGGCAGCUGAGCACCCCUCCCUUCAGGUGAAACUGCUGGAGCUGCAGGAGCUGGUGUUGCGGCUUGCAGGCGAUCACAACGAGGGGCAUGGCAAAUUCCUGGCCGCUGCCCAGAACCCUGCUGAUGAUCCUGCUCCAGGGGCCCCAGCCCCUAAGGAGCUUGGGGCUGCUGACAAGCAGGGUGGCUUUGAAGACAAGAUUCCCAAAAGGAGAUUCUCUGAGAUGCAAAAUGAAAGACGAGAACAGGCACAGAGGACUGUUUUAAUACAUUGCCCAGAGAAAAUCAGUGAAAACAAGUUUCUUAAAUAUUUAUCCCAAUUUGGACCUAUUAAUAAUCAUUUCUUCUAUGAAAGCUUUGGUCUCUAUGCUGUCGUAGAAUUUUGCCAAAAGGAAAGCAUAGGUUCACUGCAGAAUGGGACUCAUACUCCAAGCACGGCCAUGGAGACUGCAAUUCCAUUCAGAUCACGUUUCUUCAAUCUGAAGUUGAAAAACCAGACUUCUGAACGGUCACGCGUACGGUCAAGUAAUCAGUUGCCACGUUCAAACAAGCAGCUUUUUGAAUUACUUUGUUAUGCAGAAAGUAUAGACGAUCAGCUGAACACUCUCUUGAAGGAGUUCCAGCUAACAGAGGAGAACACUAAGCUCCGAUAUCUCACCUGUUCUCUUAUUGAAGACAUAGCAGCUGCAUAUUUUCCAGACUGCAUAGUCAGACCCUUUGGCUCCUCAGUCAACACUUUUGGGAAGUUAGGAUGUGAUUUGGACAUGUUUUUGGAUCUAGAUGAAACCAGAAACCUCAGCGCUCACAAGACCUCAGGAAAUUUUCUGAUGGAAUUUCAAGUGAAAAAUGUUCCUUCAGAAAGAAUUGCAACUCAGAAGAUCCUGUCUGUGUUAGGAGAGUGCCUUGACCACUUUGGCCCUGGUUGUGUGGGUGUGCAAAAAAUAUUAAAUGCCCGGUGUCCGCUCGUGAGGUUCUCACACCAGGCCUCUGGAUUUCAGUGUGAUUUGACUACGAACAAUAGGAUUGCCUUGACAAGUUCCGAACUCCUUUAUAUAUAUGGUGCCCUAGACUCAAGAGUGAGAGCCUUGGUGUUCAGUAUACGGUGCUGGGCUCGAGCACAUUCACUAACAAGUAGUAUUCCUGGUGCAUGGAUUACAAAUUUCUCCCUUACAAUGAUGGUCAUCUUUUUUCUCCAGAGAAGAUCACCCCCUAUUCUUCCAACACUAGAUUCCUUAAAAACCCUAGCAGAUGCAGAAGAUAAAUGUGUAAUAGAAGGCAACAACUGCACAUUUGUUCGUGACUUGAGUAGAAUUAAACCUUCACAGAACACAGAAACAUUAGAAUUACUACUGAAGGAAUUUUUUGAGUAUUUCGGCAAUUUUGCUUUCGAUAAAAAUUCCAUAAAUAUUCGACAGGGAAGGGAGCAAAACAAACCUGAUUCUUCUCCUCUGUACAUUCAGAAUCCAUUUGAAACUUCUCUCAACAUAAGCAAAAAUGUAAGUCAAAGCCAGCUGCAAAAAUUUGUAGAUUUGGCCCGAGAAAGUGCCUGGAUUUUACAACAGGAAGAUAUAGAUCGACCUUCCAUAUCAAGUAAUCGGCCCUGGGGGCUGGUAUCCCUAUUGCUACCAUCUCCUCCAAACAGAAAGUCCUUUACCAAGAAGAAAAGCAAUAAGUUUGCAAUUGAAACAGUCAAAAACUUGUUAGAAUCUUUAAAAGGUAACAGAACAGAAAAUUUCACAAAAACCAGUGGGAAGAGAACAAUUAGUACUCAGACAUGAUGGCUGCUACAUUGUGUAAAGAACUGGGCUUAGCCUAUCAAAUGGUCUGUGGACUUACUUGGAAAAACUGAUUUGAAACUUUCACAGAUCUCAGCUUUCAUCUGAUGUCACUUUUCAUGAUCUUCUCAUUGGCCCCCUUAACCUGGUCUGAAGUUCUGGGAUGUUUUCAGUCUGAUCAGUCUGAUACUCAGUGGCACUUUAUUAAAACAUCAGCUGUGGAGUGUGGCGGUGCACACCUGUAGUCCCAGCUGCUCAGGAGGCUGAGGCAGGAGGAUCUCUUGAGCCCAGGAUUUUGAAUCCAUCGUGGACAACAUAGCAAGAUUCCAUCUCUAAAAAAAAUGAAAAUAAACAUAAGCCACAAGGAAUGGGUGAAAGAUUAUUGUAAUGUGCUUUAACUAAAUAGGUAAAUAUACUAAACAAAUGCUAAAACUCAGUUAUAGGAUGAAACCAUUGUUGAUAUCCACAUCAGUCCCUGUUUAGAAAACAUUUAAAAUGACUUUUAGUUAUGUACAGUACGUUGGCAAUGAAUACAUUAAGCUUCAAAAUUUGGUAGUGCUCUCGAAUAUGUAUAUUUGUAUUUUUCAAGCGAAGUUCUCUUA